rnacentral:lncRNA from 1 species
UAUUUCAUCUGGUUUUGGAGUUCUACUAAAGGAGCAAGGAAUGAGAGGCUUCUUCCGUGGUUGGGUUCCUACCCUUCUUGGUUACAGCGCACAGGGUGCUUGCAAGUUUGGAUUCUAUGAGUUCUUCAAGAAGUACUAUUCUGACCUUGCUGGACCUGAAUACUUUGCCAAGUACAAGACUCUCAUCUAUCUUGCCGGCUCUGCAUCUGCUGAGGUGAUUGCUGAUGUUGCACUUUGCCCCUUUGAGGCAGUCAAGGUCAGGGUUCAAACCCAGCCUGGUUUUGCUAGGGGUCUGUCUGAUGGUCUUCCCAAGUUUGUCAGAUCUGAAGGUGCUCUCGGGUAUGCUCCUAUGCGCUAUGUUAAAUUUUCCUUUUAAAUAAUACAAGGAACGUCUGUCAGAAUGAGCUUUUAACUAUUUCCCUUUGCAGAUUGUACAAGGGUAUUGUUCCUCUUUGGGGCCGACAGAUUCCAUGUAAGUUUUCCAUGUACAGUUUGCUGAGUACUGCCUUUAUUAUCAUUUAUCAUUGCUUGGGAACUUGUACUUUUAUUUGGUCAUGCCUUAUUUUCCCUUUCCUUCUUCUCUCUAACCCACUUUUUCUGUUCAUAGUUCUAGCAUUUGCUAAGUGCAGCAAAGUGUAAGAUGUAUUUGUUUGAUCUUUCUUUGUUUCAGAUACCAUGAUGAAAUUUGCUUCUUUUGAAACUAUUGUUGAGAUGAUCUACAAGUAUGGUAUUCCCACUCCCAAGGAGCAGUGCAGCAAAAAUCUGCAGCUUGGUGUUAGUUUUGCUGGUGGUUAUGUUGCUGGUGUCUUCUGUGCUAUUGUUUCGCAUCCUGCUGACAACCUUGUCUCCUUCCUUAACAAUGCCAAAGGAGCAACUGUUGGGGAUGUAAGUUCUGUGCCUUGGAUGAUCCGUUUGAUAUUUAAUUCUCAUUUAUGAAGCAGUUUUUUUUUACUUUACCUUGACCCUUUUACUAUCUCUUGGCAAUGUAGGCUGUGAAGAAGCUUGGAUUAUGGGGUCUGUUUACCCGUGGUCUUCCCCUCCGUAUUGUGAUGAUUGGAACUCUAACUGGAGCACAGUGGGGUAUCUAUGAUGCUUUCAAAGUGUUUGUGGGGCUGUAAGUUCUUCCCAGCACUAGACUCGGUUAAUAUACAUGCUUUUGUGGUUUAUGCUAAUGUUUUUUCUGCAAUCCUUCAGGCCAACUACUGGUGGUGUUGCUCCUGUGCCUGCUGCUGUGGAGCUUGCCAAGGUAUAGAAUGUUGGAAAACCUGUUGUCAUGGGGGACAAGUAAACAUAGGAUUGCUGGAAUGGUUUGUCAAGCUGGUGGAAGGAUAUUCUUUUUUGCGUUGAGAACAUUUUUAUCAAGUCGCUCUGUUUUGAAAAAAACUGUUGGUUUUAGGAGGAUGGUUUUGAUCUCAUCCUCCAAACUACGGAGACUAAUUAUUUUUGUAGUAGUUAGAUCAUAAAUGAAAUUUCAUUUGAAGAUCAAUCCCCCCCUUCUGUAACAGUUAAAAAUAAGGAGCAGAUGCAGAUGGGGACGAUACUGCCUACUUUACCUUUUUAAGCAAGCUUUUAAUGUAAUAUUGAGAACUUUUGUUCGGCUUUCUUUUAGUAAGGCAUCUCACUCUCUCUCUCUGCAAAAAAAUAUUUAUUACAUUUUUAGAUAUAUUUCAUGGAGGUUACAAGUAGGGGUGAGCAUUCGAUCGAAUCGAAUCGAAAAUUUUCGAGUUAAUCGAGUUUUUGAAUCUCAUUUUAUCAUCUUAAUUUUAUUUGAAGUUUUUUCGAAUCGAGUCGAGUGAAAUGAAAUUCGAAUCGAAUAUAUUUGUUCGAGUUGAAUUUAAAAAAAUAAUUUUGGGUCCUUGUAACCAUUGUCAUCCAUCGUAAUAAAAUUUGUCCACAUUAAUCAAAUUUUUUAUUAGCUUUCAUCACUUCAUAAUUUAUUUAUUAAUUUUUUAUAUAUUGGUUAACUUCUUUGCUUACUUAGUUGUUUCAAUUAUCUUCAGAUUCUUGUUACUAUGUAUUUUAGAAUUAAAAAAUAUAUUAAAUGUAAAAAUAUGAUUUUUUUAAUAAAAAUAUUUUAAAAAUAAAAUUUGAAAUUAAUACCAAUAUAAAAUUUUAACACGAAUAUUUUAUGACAUAAUUAAUAAUUCAAUUUUAAUAUAAAUAUUCAAUAUGACUAAAUAAUUCAAUAAUAUAAAUAAUAUAAAAUGUGAAGUUUAAUUUAAUAAUAUAAAUAGUAGAUAUAAAUAAAAUUAUUACUAUUUAUGUUUAGUGAUUUUUUUUGGAUAAUUUUGAUUUUUUAUUUGAGAGUAAAGGGUGAGAAGUAAAAGUUUAGGGGAAAAAUAAAAAGUCUUGGGGAAUAAAAGUUUGAGGGAAAGUAAAUAGGGGGAGUACAAAUUUGGAGGGAAAAUAUUAAAAAAAAUUGAAGGAGGGAGGGUUUGAGAUAAAUGGGAGGUGGGAUGGGAAGGGAAUAAAAGUUUUAAGGGAAAAGUGGGAGGGAGUAAAAAUUUUGGAGGAAAAUAAAAUGUUUUGAGGGUUUUUGGGAGUAAAAUUUUGAGAAAAAAUAAAUGAGAGUAAAAUUUUGGUGGGAAAUAGAUUUUGGGUAGAUUGGGGGUGUAAUACCCGAUUUUGGCCCGAGUAAAAUGGCCCAAAUACAACAAAAUUACAAACGGGCCACAAAGCCCAAAACCAAAUUCAGUGGCCCAAAUUCAGUGGCCCAAACCAAACAUGGCUCGAAACAGACAGAAACCCUAGGGUUUCCCACAGCGCCGCAAGCCUCCAAAUCAGCCCCGAUCUUCACCUGCACGAAAAUGGAAACAAACAGUAUACGAAAAUAAAAUCAGAGAUUUGCAAAUCAAAUCAAAAGAAAAUAUAUAUUGUUUCUUCUUUUAUUCUUUUUCAUAUGGCUAUAUAAAGCUAUUGUUAAGACUAUAAAAAGGAUCGGAUUUUGGGGGAAAAAUCAAUAAAAAGCACUAUUCUUUACAACACAAGCAGAGAAAAAACGAAAUCUAAGGUUGUUUUUUUUUAUUCUGUUAUUUAUUUAUUAGUUAUUAUUUGUUUAUACACUUUUACAAAAUAAAAUAAAGAAGGGAAACGCACCGACGUUAGGGUCUGUCGCGCCGUUGGAAGGCUGAGGUCCGUCUCCGAGGACAGACGGUCAGAAGUCAAAAGGCUUCUAGUUUUUUUUUCGUCGGUUUCCAAAGGAUUUGAGCCCCGAUCUAUACCUGGAUAGGUUGGGAGGACCGAAUAGGAAAUUUUCCCUUUUCCGGCCACCGCACACGGCGGUGCCGGCGCCGGAGAUCGGCGGCCGACGUGGUGGCUGGUGACCGGCCGGUGGUCGGACUAGAGGACCGGUGCCAGGAGAAGUAGGGAGGAUUUUUGAGAUUUUUUUAAGUUUUUUUUGUAAGGAAUGAAAAAUGAAAUUUUUGACUGAAAUUUGGCUUAAAUAGGCCAAUCAAAACGGCGCCGUUUUGAGGGGAGGAUCCGCGCGUCGACCCGACCCGGACCCAGGAUCCGCGUGUUUUUAUGCGGAGGGGCAAAUUGCACUUUUAGCCCCUCCGCCUUUAAAUGUCUUUAUAAUUAGGUUUUUUUUUAUUUUUUAAUUCGCUCUUUAAUUUAUUUUAAUUUCAAUUUAACCCUUCCUGAACGACACCGUUUUAGAGGAGAAGGGAAAAUUGCCCUUCCAGCCCCUCUAUGUAAUUCGCGCGUUCAAUUUGGUACUCCAGACUUCAUUUAUUUGCGGAUUCACCCCUGAUUUUUUUACUUGCUACCCAAUUUAGUCAUUUUUUUCCAUAUUUUUUUCUUAAAAUCAAUAUUUCUAAUAUUUUUUUUAAAUAUAUAUGUAUAUUUGCUGUUUUAUGUACAUAUUUUUAACGAAUGUUUUUAUAUAUACAUAUAUUUUAUUUUUAUGACAAUUUUUUUAUAUAUAUUUUUACGUAUAUGUAUAUAUUUAGUUUUUUUUAAAACAAAUAUUCUUUUAUGUCAAUAAACACGCAUAUAUCUAUUUUUUUAUUUCUAAAAAUGCCUAAAUACCUAUUUAUUUUUUUAACACAUAUUUUAUAUGUAUAUAUAUAUUUUUUAAAUACAUUGUAUAUUUUAUAUAAACUUUAUAAUCUAGAAUUCUACAUGUAAAUUCAUAUAUAUGCCUCUUAUUCCUCAUAAUUUCAAUAUAUAUUAUAAACUUUUUAUUCUUUAUUUAUUUUGUUUGUUUUCUUCAUUCGCUAUUUUUAUUACAUUCUUGUUUUUUUAUUUAUUUUGCAUAUUUAUGUGAUAUUUUAUAUGUCAUUAGUUAUUUUUGCCUUUAUAUUAAUUUUAUUUGUUUACUAUUCAUGUUAUUACACCAUUGAUGUAUUUAUUAUGGUACUUGUUUUGUAACAAUUAUGCAUACGUUCAAUUUAACAUUACAUGUUUUACUCGAUUUUUUUUUUAAAAAAUCAAUCAAACUCUUUCAAAAUGGAUAUUCUUUAAAUCAAAAUAAACUCAUUAUUGGGAAUUCAACACGUUCUGUCCUAACGUAUUGGAUGUGACGUAUUGAUUUCUCGAAAUGAAGAUUUUUUUUAAAAAAAAUCAUGAAGGAAAUAUUCCGAGUUUGAGAUUCUAAAGGAAUUGUGCCCUAACGUAUUGGGUGUGAUUUCUUAAAUCUUGGAUAAGUGGAUGUUCUUUUAAAGUAAAGGAAAUAUUCCGAGUUUGGGAUUCUAAAGGGGUCGUGCCCUAACGUAUUGAGUGUGAUUUCUUAAAUCUUGGAUGAGUGGAUGUUCUUUUAAAGUUUUAUUGCAUAAGUAUUCUGACCUAAUUCAUUUUGGAGGAAAUUAGAAUGUUGUGCCCUAACGUAUUGGGUGUGGCAUUUUUGCUUCUUUGAAUUGAAAAGGGUUUUAAUAUGCAACGUUUUAAGUUUUUUUAAAAGAUUAUAUUUUUAAAAUUUUCGACCUUAAGACUUUAAUUAAUUAACUAGGUACCAAUUUUUGGGCGUAGUGAGGGUGCUAAUCCUUCCUCAUACGUAACCGACUCUCGGACCCGUUUUUCUAAAAUUCGUAGACCAAAGUCGUUUUAGGUGACCUAAUCACACCUUAAUAAAAGAUUGGUGGCGACUCCCGAAUUUUCAUUUUUUUAAAGUCGACAACCUAAAAUUUUUGUUUUUUUUCAAAAAAUAGUUUCGACAGCUUGGCGACUCCGCUGGGGACUUUUAAAAAAAAAUAAGAGAGUCGAGCCACAAAGUUAUUAACUUUUGUCUUAUGGUCGAGAAAAUAUUUUUUAAAAAAACUCAAAACAUCCUUUUGCAUUCAUUAUCUUCUUGUUUAAACAUUGUUUGCAUUAUACAUUUCAUGAGUUGAACAAUGUUGCCCUUUUUAAGUGGGAGUGAGAAACUAUGCCUUCGUGAGGUUUUUACCUCCGUGUAGGAUAGUGGAUUGCUUUCGGGAUACAUCCGUACCUAUGUCUUCGUGAGAUUUGUCAUCUCCGUGCAGCCAUAGGGAAAUGUAUUCCCUUGAACUGAACUCGGUCCAUAUGAGCCUAUAAUGGGUAAGGAUUGAGGAAUCUGCUAGUUCGGGUACCUUUACUCUAGAAGCCAAACCUCAUAUAAUGAACCUUAGGAAUCCACCUUAAGUAGAAUCAUACUAAACCCUAGUAGACAUCCAAUUAGGGAUCUUUAUUAUUUCUUGAUUAUAUCUUGUGUUUCUAUGUUAUACUGACUUUUGGUGUUUUAUUUGCAUGACAUGACAUUUCAUUUCAUCAUAAAAGGCGUCAAUUCAAAUUCAGUUGCUAGAAAUAAGGCUUAACAUAAAAAGCGGGUUUCUUGAUAAAGUGGAGGACAAUGCGACCGUUCGAACUUGGUCUGAAACAACGCAGCAAGAAAAGGGUGAUAGUUUGGCUGAUGGGCAUGUAUCGGAGUUAUGGGACUUUACGCAUAUCAAUGCAACUCAAAACAAUUUGCAAGAAUUGAAGGAAAUCUGGGGUCAGUGGAGCGAUGAGGUUAGACAACUCUUUUAUGAUAAUUAUGGGGAUUUGCCUUAUUUGCUUGAUGUGAAGGUAGACAAGCGUUUGUUUCAAGCCCUGGCCCAAUUCUGGAAUCCUGCUUACAGUUGCUUUACGUUAGGGAAGGUCGAUUUAGUACCCACAAUAGAGGAGUAUAUGACUUUACUCCGUUGUUCAAAGUUUCAAGUGGACAGGGUCUAUUCGAGAGCAGUAAAUGUGCCAACCUUUUUCAAGAAACUGAUGAGUGUAACAGGAAUGAGCGAGCAGUGGGUUGUCGCACGAAUUGAGCAAAAGGGGGACAGUAAGUGCGUUCCUUGGAGAGGCUUGAAAGAUGCAAUCCUCACACACCCAGAUGUCAGGAAAAGGUUAGAUGUUUUUGCUUUAAGUAUAUAUGGCUUGGUUGUCUUCCCUAAAGCCUUGGGUUAUGUGGAUGAAACAGUCACUGAUUUAUUCGAUCGGCUCGAUAAGAAAGUUACACCGAUUCCAGCAAUUUUGGCAGAAACUUUCAGGUCAUUGAGUGCAUGCCAGAAGACAGGUGAAGGUAGAUUUAUUGGAUGUGCACAGCUUCUACUCGCGUGAUUUCACAGUCACUUUUAGAAGGUGGAUAAAGUAUCGUAUCGGGUUUUCUCUGAAAAUUAUUCACCACUAAAGGAGAUAGUCGCGACGCCCAGGAGAGACGACAUUUCGAAGGAGAAGUGGAUAGCAAUUCUUCAAAAUCUUCGAGAGGAGGACAUUGAGUGGAGAGCUCAUUGGUUACUUCCAGAUGAGGUCCUGUAUAGGUGUGGUAGUUUUGAUUGGGUUCCUUUGCUAGGGGUUUGGGGAGCUACUGGAUACGCCCCAUUAUUGGUACUAAGGCAAUAUAGGUCAAGGCAAUUUAUACCUGCGACCCAAGGGAUAGCUAAUUGUGAAUUUUCGUACAAGGAUGAUGGUUAUAGAAAGAAGAUUCAAGAGAUGGCUAGUGCGUGGAAACAAACUUGCCGAAUGAAGAGGCUAGCUGUGGGUCCAAUGUCAACUCCUGAAUAUCAUCAAUGGUGGGCUAGAAGGAUUAAUGAUAAUACACCUAAGUUAAAUCAGGAAGAAAGCCAGUCAAUAGAAGAGCAUUUGCGAGUCAUUCCUUCUGAGUUGGAGAUUAUAAAACAAGAUUUUGAAAGGAGAAAUGCAGAGUUGGAGAAAAAGAUAGAGCAAACGGAGAUGGAAAAGAUGAACUUAAGAUUGGAUAUAGAUGUUCAGAAGCUUAAAAAUGAAAAGUUAAAGAAAGAGAAAAGCAGGGCUGAGGAUGAGCUGGGUAGUCUGAAGACGGAUUAUAAAAAAAUACGUUUGUCAAUGAGAACUGCUGGGCUGGGAAAGACAUCAGAGCAGUGGCGAGCAGAAAUCCAAGGAGAAAAUGACAAGGCCGAUAAGUGGGAACAGAGAUUUCAAGAAAUGCAAAGGCGAAAUGAGACCUUAGAAAAGAGUUUGUCAGAAAGCCAGAAGGAAAAUGGUGAGUUAAAGGAUAGGGUGAUUAUAUUGGAAAGAUCUCUUCGUCAGUAUAGAAGCCGAAAUUCUGCGAUAGAGUUAAAAGCUAGCUUGAGCAAGAUUGAAGAAAUGGAGAAAAGAAUUGAAGAGUUAGAGACGGAGCUGCAAAAUUGUGAGAUCUAGAUCAAGCACUUGAAAGCAAACGAGAGUCAUAGUAAUGAACAGCUUCACCAUUUUCAGAAUCAAGUUAGAAGCAGAGAUCAUCUUAUCGAGAAAGCUGUAGUCCAGAUUCGAGAAGUAGCUGACCAUAUACAGACUUUAGCAGUACAAGCUGACACGCUGAGUGUGAAGUAUGAAUUAGAGUCAGAUCGGGGGCAAGAAUUGGCUUUGUUACUUAGAAAGAUUAGAGUUCUGGGUACUAGGGCAAAGUCGUAUUUGUAAUUCAUUUUAUGUAAAGGAAUUUAAUUUCUAGUAAAGUUUUCUUAUAUGGAAUUGAAUUCAAAUUGACGCCUUUUCUGCAUUCAUUUCAUGCAUUGCAUUGUUUCAUAUGCAUUGAUAAAUACAUUAAGGGAUUCUAAUUAAUCUAAAUCACUCCUCAGCUAAUCUGGAAACCAACCAACCUACCAAGCACCACUACGGUACUCGAUCAAAAACUAAGGAUAUGGAUCAAAGAAUGGAAAGAUUAGAACAAACUCAAAAGGAAAUGCAGGAGCUGCUUCAAAAGCAAAUGAAUGAGCAGCAAAAGAUGAUAGACAAAAUGAUGGAGUCUCAAGGGAGUAUGAUGGCUCAGUUAACUCAGUGGUUCAAUAAAGGAACUGAUAAAGGAAAGAGUUCUGUGCUCAAUAUUGAAGAAGGAGAGAAUGAGAGACUUGUCUAUCCUCCGGACUUUACACCCCAACAAGUUGAGAUGUACCCGCGAAGGUCCUCUGUUACCAUUAAUCCUUCGGGUGAUGCUGUAACGCAAAUGAAUUUCCAGAUGGGAUCAGGUUCUAACCCCGGUGCCAAUUUUGCUAAUCCUGCUAUUUCUGAUUUUGAUGAGACGGUUGGAAAAGAAAAAAUAAAUGAUGAAUUAUCAAAGCAGCUCGAGGAAAGAUAUAAAUGGCUGGAGGAAAAAAUUAAAGCAAUAGAAGUUACUGAGAGCUACCACGGAGUUGAUGCUAGAGAAUUGAGCUUGGUUCCAGGUCUAGUACUUCCUCACAAGUUCAAAACGCCAGAGUUCGAGAAGUACAAUGAGACUAGUAGCCCCGAAGCAUAUAUUACUAUGUUCUGCAAGAGGAUGACUGGAUAUGUUAAUAAUGACCAGUUGCUGAUACAUUGCUUCCAGGAUAGCCUCACGGGGGCAGCAUCCAGGUGGUACAAUCGAUUGAACCGUACCCAGAUUAAUUCAUGGAGAGAUCUAGCGCAGGUAUUCUUGAAACAGUACAGCCAUGUGACUGACAUGGUACCUGAUAGAAUUACUCUGCAGAACAUAGAGAAGAAGCCUGGUGAAAGUGUCAGGUAGUACGCACAGAGAUGGAGGGAGGUUGCUGUCCAAGUUCAGCCAUCUCUGCUAGAAAGAGAGAUGACGAUGCUUUUCGUCAACACAUUGAAGGCACCAUUUAUUACACAUAUGUUAGGAAGCGCUACUAAAAGUUUUUCCGACAUAGUUAUGAAUGGUGAGAUGAUAGAAAACGCUAUCAGAAGUGGGAAAAUAGAUGCUGGAGAAAAUAGCAGAAGAACGGCCUCGAAGAAGAAAGAGAAUGAUGUUAACAACACGAGUUCAUAUUCGAAGACAGUUACAGUGAAUCAGCCGGGAAAAGUGGCUAUUAACCAGCAGAGAUUAUCAAAACAGAGAUCUGACACAAGACAAAACACAGAGAAGCUUCAAUUUACGCCAAUCCCAAUGUCGUAUAGGGAGCUAUAUCAGAAUCUAUUCAAUGCACACGUGGUUGUCCCUCACCAUUUAAAACCCCUGCAACCUCCAUAUCCCAAGUGGUACGAUGCGAACGCACAGUGCGAUUAUCACGCGGGAAUUGUGGGGCAUUCUAUAGAACAUUGUACGGAAUUCAAGAUGCUGGUAGAAAGGCUUAUAAGCAUGGGCGUGGUAAAAUUAGAUGAUUCACCCAAUACAGAAAAUCCAUUACCUGAUCACAACGGAGUGAACAUGAUAGGUGGGAGCAUGGGUAGAAAGAUCAAGGAAGACAUAUCGGAGGUGAAAAUUCCUUUGAGGUGGGUCUAGAAAAAUAUGGUGAAAAGGGAAUUGAUCAUCCCGAGUUCAGAGAGAAGCGUUGAAGGGGUGGAAAAUUACUGUGAGUUCCAUUACGAGGAAGGACAUAAAAUCCAAGAAUGCGCAGAAUUCAGAGCUUUGGUUCAAGACUUGAUGGAUAACAAGGAGAUGGAGUUUUAUGAAGAAGUUAAGGAAGAGGGGAGCAUUUGCACAUCAGAGGCUCCGAAGGUUCCAAGAAUAGUGCAGCCUGUGGUCAUUAUCUCACGACCCAAGAAGGAUGAGGUGAGAGCACCAGCAAUACCAAAAAUCAUAAUAAAAAAACCUGCAGUCUUUCUUUACCAAGACAGUAAGAAGGUCCCAUGGAACUACGAGUGCAAUACGACUGUCCUAGGAAGUGAGGCGGCAAAGAGCCAGUAUGUGAGUACCAAUCCAGAGUCUAUGAAAGAGGCUAUAAUGAGGGAGCAAAAAGGGAAAAUAGUUGAGCCAGUGAAGGGGGAAGAAGCUGUGGAAUUCCUUAAAAUUUUAAAACAUAGCGAGUAUAAUGUCGUUGAACAGUUGCAUAAACAACCGGCCCGCAUAUCUGUACUGUCCUUGCUCUUGAAUUCCGAAGUGCAUCAAAAUACGUUGAUGAAGAUGCUAAAUGAGACCUAUGUGUCCAAGGAUAUUUCUGUCAGUAAGCUGGACCGGUUGGUCAAUAAUAUCAGUGCUGAUAAUUUCAUAUUUUUCAAUGAUGAUGAAAUACCUUCGGGGGGCAUGGGAUCUACCAAGGCUUUGCAUAUCACUGCAUGAUGCAAGGGGCGUAUUUUGCCAGGAGUAUUGAUUGACAAUGGAUCAGCUUUGAACAUACUACCGUUAUUCACACUUAACAGGCUACCUAUAGACAGUUCGCACAUGAAAACGUGUCAAAAUGUAGUGAGGGCAUUUGACGGUACAGAAAGGAAGGUCAUGGGAAGAAUUGAGGUACCCUUACUGAUUGGUCCAACAGUUUAUGAGGUAGAUUUUAUUGUGAUGGACAUCAAACCUUCCUAUAACUGCUUAUUAGGAAGACCAUGGAUACAUUCGGCAGGGGCAGUUUCGUCAUCAUUACAUCAGAUGUUGAAGUUAGUGUCAGAUGGUCGGCUAGUGACAUUAAAAGCCGAAGAGGAUAUAAUAGCAACUGUAUCCAAUGAGAUGCCGUACGUGGAGACCAAUGACGAGUUAGUUGAAUGCUCAUUUCAAUCUUUGGAGUUUGUAAAUACGGCAUUUGUUUCUGAAGGGAGCAAAAUUAUGGCUCCAAAAUUAUUCAAAACCACAGAGAUGGGUUUACAAUUGUUGGUAGGAAAAGGAGCUUUACCCGGAAGAGGGCUGGGGAGAUAUCUGCAAGGGAAGACUGAGGCUCCAAUGCUGAAAGAAAAGCAAGAUCAUUUUGGCUUAGGAUACAAGCCGGAUAGAAGACAAAUAAGGAAUGAGAUAGAAAAAAGGCAGGAAAGAAGAAGGGCGCGUUUGAAAGGGGAGGAAGCUAAGUGGGAGCCAAUGAUAAUUCCCCACAUAUCCAAAACUUUUGUAUCCGGAGGGAUCAUUCAUCAGGAGAGAAAGAAAUCGGUUGAGGAAGGCAUCGAGGAGACAUUGGGAAAUAUGUACAUUAACGCAAUUCAUGAGCUUGGGAAGGAAGAGGAAAGUUGGCUAGACAUUCGUCCUUAUGAGCCUGGGAGUGUUCUAGACAAUUGGACUACGGAAGAAAUACCUAAAGUUUUUAGAAUUAUCUCAGAGUAAUAUUCAGAACAAACUUGUUGUUUUAGCCUAGAAAUAACAAGAAUUCUUUUGUGAAAUAGGCUUAUGUUUAGAAAUUAUUAUUUUAAUAAAAUACAUCUUUGCAAGUAUGUCGAGUAAAUAUUCUUUCAUUCUUCCAUACGCCUAAAAUAUAUUCUUUUAUUACAUAAAUAAAUUAUACAUAAAUUCAUACAUUCUCUUGUAACCAUAAUAGGUCUUUGUGUAUCAAUGACGUGAACGACACUACUACGAGCUCAAAGUGCCUUUUUGAACAAAACGUGUGUUUAGAGGGAUCGCACGACUUUGAAGGUGAUGAAGAGGGUGGUUUAUCUUUGGAUUUUUUGAGGAUGGUGGAACAAGAGGAAAAGCAAAUCCUACCUCACAAAGAGACAGUAGAAGUUGUGAGCCUGGAAGAAGGGAAAGAGGUGAAAAUUGAAACUAAAAUCCUCGCAAAAACAAGACGAGACCUCAUUAGAUUACUUCAUGAAUUUAAAGAUGUCUUAGCAUGGUCAUACCAGGAUAUACCGGUAUUGAGUGCUGACAUUGUAGUGCAUCGCUUACCUAUAAAAGAGGAUUGCAAACCAGUUCAGCAGAAGCUCAGAAGAAUGAGGCCUGAUAUUGUGCUCAAAAUAAAAGAGGAGGUUAAGAAACAGUUUGAUGCUGGUUUUUUGCAGGAAGUCAAAUAUUCUGAGUGGGUAGCUAAUAUCGUUCCAGUCCCUAAGAAAGAUGGAAAAGUACGAAUGUGCAUCGAUUACAGGGAUUUGAACAAAGCAAGCCCAAAGGACAACUUUCCAUUGCCACAUGUUGAUACGCUGGUGGAUAAUACGGCGGGAUUUUUAUUGUUUUCUUUUAUGGAUGGGUUCUCAGGAUAUAAUCAGAUAAAAAUGCAUCCAGAAGAUAUGAGAAAGACUACGUUCAUUACUUUAUGGGGAACGUUUUGCUAUAAGGUGAUGCCAUUUGGAUUAAAGAACGCGGGAGCAACAUAUCAGAGGGCCAUGGUAACCUUGUUCCAUGACAUGAUGCACAAAGAAAUCGAGGUGUAUGUUGAUGAUAUGAUUGCCAAAUCCAGAACAGAGGAGGAACAUGUGCAAGUCUUGAGAAGAUUGUUCUUAAAAUUAAGGAAGUUCCAACUCAAGCUUAAUCCGACAAAGUGCACUUUUGGAGCCAGAUCAGGAAAGCUAUUAGGCUUCGUAGUCAGCGAAAAGGGAAUUGAGAUCGACCCAGACAAAGUCAAAGUAAUACGAGAUUUAUCGCCACCACGUGCCCAGAAAGAAGUUCGAGGUUUCUUGGGAAGACUGAAUUACAUUGCUCGGUUCAUUUCACAGUUGACCGAAAAAUGUGACCCCAUAUUUCACCUUUUGAAGAAACAUAAUCCUGAUGUUUGGAAUGAAGAAUGUCAAAAAGCCUUUGAAAAGAUAAAGUAAUACUUAUCCAAUACCCCAGUACUGUCACCACCCAGCCCGGAUAGACCCUUGAUUUUGUAUUUAACAGUGUUCAGCAACUCCAUGGGAUGCGUGUUAGGUCAACAUGAUGCGACUGGAAAGAAGGAAAAGGCGAUUUACUAUCUGAGCAAGAAAUUCACUGAUUGUGAGAUGAGAUAUUCGCCUAUUGAAAAAUUGUGUUGCGCCUUGAUUUGGACGACCAAGAGGUUGAUGCAAUACUUACUCUAUCAUACGACUUGGUUAAUUUCAAAAUUAGAUCCUUUAAAAUAUAUGAUGGAGUCAACAGCAUUGAAUGGAAGAAUGGCUAGAUGGCAAAUCUUGCUAUCAGAGUUUGAUAUUGUAUAUGUAAGUCAGAAGGCCAUCAAAGAGAGUGCGAUAGCAGAUUUCUUGGCUAGCAGGGCUCUGGAAGAUUAUGAGCCUCUAGACUUUGAUUUUCCGAAUGAAGAUUUGAUGUAUAUGGCAAAUGCUGAAGAGGAUCCCCGAGAGAAUCAUUCUUGGAGAUUAAGCUUUGACGGAGCAUCGAAUGCAUUAGGCAAUGGGAUUGGGGCAGUCUUGGUGUCUCCGAAUGGAGAUUAUCAUCCUUUCACCAGUAAAUUAGACUUUGAUUGCACCAAUAACAUGGCUGAGUAUGAAGCUUGCAUCAUGGGUAUACGGGCAGCCAUAGAACGGAAAAUCAAGACAUUAGAGGUGUACGGAGACUCAAUAUUGGUAAUAUACCAGCUAAGAGGGGAAUGGGAGACGAGAGAUCCUAAAUUGAUCCGUUACCGGAGGUUGGUUUUGGGAUUUAUUGAAGAGUUUGACAACAUUACCUUCUGUUAUCUCCCACGAGAAGAAAAUCAGAUGGCUGAUGCUCUUGCUACUUUAGCUUCCAUGAUUAAAGUGAAUCAGUUAGAGGACAUGAAGCCUAUUCAAAUUAGUAUUUAUGAGAUCCCAGCCCACUGUUACAGCAUUGAGGAAGUAGAGAAUGAUAAUCAUCCUUGGUACCAAGAUAUAUUGCAAUAUGUGAAGAAUAGCGAAUAUCCUGAUCAGGCAACGGAGAAUGAUAAGAGGACAUUAAGGAGGCUAGCUAUUGACUAUGUUUUAGAUGGGGAGAUCCUAUACAAAAGGGGAAAGGAUCGAGUACUAUUAAGAUGCGUGGACGCUGUAGAGGCUAAGGAAAUUUUAGAAGAAGUCCAUGAGGGUGUUUGUGGAACACACGCUAAUGGGUUCACCAUGGCUAGACAGAUUAUAAGAUUCGGGUAUUAUUGGUCCACCAUAGAAGGAGAUUGCAUCAAUCAUGCCAAGAAAUGCCAUAAUUGCCAAAUUUAUGGGGAUAAAAUGCACGCGUCUCCUUCUCCUCUUCACGUCAUGACUUCUCCAUGGCCUUUCUCCAUGUGGGGUAUAGACGUUAUUGGACCAAUAUCACCGAAGGCCUCUAAUGGACAUCGUUUCAUUUUUGUGGUUAUUGAUUACUUCACUAAGUGGGUAGAGGCGGCCUCAUAUGCCAAUAUCACGAAGUCAGCAGUCAGCAAGUUUUUGAAGAAGGAGAUUAUAUGUCGAUAUGGAAUGCCUGAAAGGAUCAUAUCUGACAAUACAUUGAAUCUAAAUAACAGCACAAUAGCGGAAGUCUGCGAUCAGUUCAACAUUAGACACCAUAAUUCAUCACCGUAUCGCCCGAAAAUGAAUGAUGCAGUGGAAGCGGCGAAUAAAAAUAUUAAAAAAUCAUGGCAAAAAUGGCUGAAACUUACAAAGAUUGGCAUGAGAAGUUACCUUUCGCUCUUCUGGCUUACCGAACAUCUGUCAGGACUUCUCUUUGGUUUAUGGAAUGGAUGCAGUGUUACCCAUUGAGGUUGAAAUUCCUUCUCUUCGGGUAUUGGCUGAGUUAAAAUUGGAUGAAACCGAAUGGAUCCAAUCUCGGUAUGAUCAACUGAACCUGAUUGAAGAAAAAAGAUUGAAAGCCAUUCGUCAUGGCCAACUGUAUCAGAAGCGAAUGAUGCGAGCUUACAAUAAGAAGGUUCGUCCCAGAGAAUUUCAUGAAGGGGAUUUGGUUCUGAAAAAAAUCCUCCAUUUACAGAAAGAUUUCAGAGGGAAAUGGAUGCCAAACUGGGAAGGACCUUAUGUUGUGAAGAAGGCUUUUUCUGGAGGCGCUUUGAUUUUGAGUGAAAUGGAUGACAAAAAUCUUCCGAAUCCUGUAAAUUCAGACUCGGUUAAGAAAUAUUUCACUUGAAGAAAGGGAGAAAUCAAAGUGAAAACCCGCAAAGGGCACUCUGAUUUCCAAAAAAAAAAAGAGGCUAAGGUGAAAACCCGAAAAGGGCGCAUUGAGACCAAAGGGGUUUGAGUUGAAAACCCAAAAAGGGCGGCUCAAACAUUAUCAGAUUGGGGCAUAUGGUGACCUUGCUAAAGUCAACAAUAAAGGGAUGUACGACGUCUUGGGGGAAUUAACAAAGUACUGUAGAUCCGCUAAACACAUGUUAAAUUCAGAAUGGUUCUUGGCUUGUAUGGAGAAGUUCAAGCGGCGAUAUCCAAAGCACCUAGUCUUCAUAUUAUUUGUACCAAGUUUGUUGGUUCUUGUAAAUACUUCAUUCUUUGCUGUUCUUGAAUAUUUUUUCUUUUCAAGACACUUACUAUCAAUAAAUUCCUGAAUUAAUUCAUCUCUUACUCAGUAUUUUUGAUCUUUGCACAAGCAUGUUGCAUUAGAAUAAUGAUUGAUGGACUAAUUAACUUUUACAAAAGAAGUUUGGUAUAUUAGUCUAGGAAUUUUUAAAUCAUUUAGUAACUUAAAACAGGACUAUUGUUUAGAACACUCCGAGGUCAAAAGAUAAGGAGGCUAAGGAGGAAAAAAUCUAAAUUAAGACUGCUUCGGUUGUCUAAAUAGCAAAUGAGAUAGUAGGAGGUUUUGCUGGGGUAGGAAGAAGUUCCCUAUGGAUAAAAAGCUCAUCAUUUGGGCAUAAGCAUUUGAUAGGACACCUUGAGAGUAAACAAAUUUCGUAAUCUGUAUCCUUGAAUUGUGAUAGGAGAAGAUUGAAGAAAAGCCAUAUACCCUUGGGUUACAGUGGGAGAACGAUGGUCUGAAUUUUUUCACCCUAAUGGAUUAAACUUUAAAGUUUACAGUGGGGGCAACCUAGCUAAAUGUUUCUUCAGAAAAAACCAGUCAAGUAAGAAGGCGUUGUAGCACGUCAGUCACAAAGCCUUAAUAAACUUUGAGUAAUGACAACUUGAGCGGGAUCAUUCUCGGAGAAAUAAAAUUUUGCAUUCAUGCAAACAUCAUUCAUACAUACCUAGUUAGGAGCAUUUGAUUUAUUCUGAUCAUGACAUCCUAAUCACUAGGCAUAUUUAGGUUUAUAAAAUGAAUUAUACAGGCCAUGUUCCACAGAGGACAAACUGGUGAAACACCAAGCUUUGUCUCCCUGAGCAGCAGUGGAGAAGGGUGAAGAUUAUAGAUAUUGUCUCCCUAAGCAGUAGUGGAGCAGAUCGAAGACGGCGAAUCUUAUCUUUCCAAGAUAGUGGGAAGCAGAUUUAAGCCACCAAGCCUUAUCUCCCUGAGCAGCAGUGGAGAAGGGUGAAGAUUAUAGAUCUUGUCUCCCUAAGCUGUAGUGGAGCAGAUCAAAGACGGCGAAUCUUAUCUUUCCAAGAUAGUGGGAAGCAGAUUUAAGCCACCAAGCCUUAUCUUCCUGAGCAGCAGUGGAGAAGGGUGAAGAUUAUAGAUCUUGUCUCCCUAAGCAGUAGUGGAGCAGAUCGAAGACGGCGAAUCUUAUCUUUCCAAGAUAGUGGGAAGCAGAUUUAAGCCACCAAGCCUUGUCUCCCUGAGCAGCAGUGGAGAAGGUUGAAGAUUAUAGAUCUUAUCUCCCUAAGCAGUAGUGGAGCAGAUCGAAGACGGUGAAUCUUAUCUUUCCAAGAUAGUAGGAAGCAGAUUAGAGCCACCAAGCCUUGUCUCUCUGAGUAGCAGCGGAGAAAAUUGAAGAUUGUAGAUCUUAUCUCCCUAAGCAGUAGUGGAGCAGAUCGAAGAUGGCAAAUCUUAUCUCCCUGAAGUUGCAGUGGAGGAGAUUAAAGCCGACAAUCCUAUCUCCCUGAAGUUGCAGUGGGAUGGAUUAAAAUCACAGAUCUUAUCUCUCUGAAGUUGCAGAGAGCAGAAUUCAUCUAGUCUUAUCUCCCUGAAGUUACAGUGAGGUAGAUUGAAGUUGGCACUAAUUCCUAUACUUUUGAAGAAGAUACCAAGGUUCAGUAUGUCUGGGCAAAAUCGGGCAUUUUUAAAGUCUUUGCUUCAUUCUCGUUACACGACAAUGAGCAAAGAGGGGCAGCUGUAAUACACAAUUUUGGCUCGAGUAAAAAGGCCCAAAUACAACAAAAUUACAAACGGGCCACAAAGCCUAAAACCAAAUUUAGUGGCCCAAAUUCAGUGGUCCAAACCAAACAUGGCUCGAAACAGACAGAAACCCUAGGGUUUCCCACAGCGCCGCAAGCCUCCAAAUCAGCCCCGAUCUUCACCUGCACGAAAAUGGAAACAAACAGUAUACGGAAAUAAAAUCAGAGAUUUGCAAAUCAAAUCAAAAGAAAAUAGAUAUUGUUUCUUCUUUUAUUCUUUUUCAUAUGGCUAUAUAAAGCUAUUGUUAAGACUGUAAAAAGGAUCGGAUUUUGGGGGAAAAAUCAAUAAAAAGCACUAUUCUUUACAACACAAGCAGAGAAAAAACGAAAUCUAAGGUUGUUUUUUUUAUUCUGUUAUUUAUUUAUUAGUUAUUAUUUGUUUAUACACUUUUACAAAAUAAAAUAAAGGAGGGAAAUGCACCGACGUUAGGGUCUGUCGCGCCGUUGGAAGGCUGAGGUCCGUCCCCGAGGACAGACGGUCAGAAGUCGAAAGGCUUCUAGUUUUUCUUUUUCGUCGGUUUCCAAAGGAUUUGAGCGCCGAUCUAUACCUGGAUAGGUUGGGAGGACCAAAUAGGGAAUUUUCCCUUUUUCGGCAACCACACACGGCAGUGCCGGCGCCGGAGAUCGGCGGCCGGCGUGGUGGCUGGUGACCGGCCGGUGGUCGGACUAGAGGACCGGUGCCCGGAGAAGUAGGGAGGAUUUUUGAGAUUUUUUUAAGUUUUUUUUGUAAGGAAUGAAAAAUGAAAUUUUUGACUGAAAUUUGGCUUAAAUAGGCCAAUCAAAACGGCGCCAUUUUGAGGGGAGGAUCCGCGUGUUUUUAUGCGGAGGGGCAAAUUGCACUUUUAGCCCCUCCGCCUUUAAAUGUCUUUAUAAUUAGGUUUUUUUUUAUUUUUUAAUUCGCUCUUUAAUUUAUUUUAAUUUCAAUUUAACCCUUCCUGAACGACACCGUUUUAGAGGAGAAGGGAAAAUUGCCCUUCCAGCCCCUCUAUGUAAUUCGCGCGUUCAAUUUGGUACUCCAGACUUCAUUUAUUUGCGGAUUCACCCCUGAUUUUUUUACUUGCUACCCAAUUUAGUCCUUUUUUCCAUAUUUUUUUCUUAAAAUCAAUAUUUCUAAUAUUUUUUUAAAUAUAUAUGUAUAUUUGCUGUUUUAUGUACAUAUUUUUAACGAAUGUUUUUAUAUAUACAUAUAUUUUAUUUUUAUGACAAUUUUUUAUAUAUAUUUUUACGUAUAUGUAUAUAUUUAGUUUUUUUUAAAACAAAUAUUCUUUUAUGUCAAUAAACACGCAUAUAUCUAUUUUUUUAUUUCUAAAAAUGCCUAAAUACCUAUUUAUUUUUUUAACACAUAUUUUAUAUGUAUAUAUAUAUUUUUUAAAUACAUUGUAUAUUUUAUAUAAACUUUAUAAUCUAGAAUUCUACAUGUAAAUUCAUAUAUAUGCCUCUUAUUCCUCAUAAUUUCAAUAUAUAUUAUAAACUUUUUAUUCUUUAUUUAUUUUGUUUGUUUUCUUCAUUCGCUAUUUUUGUUACAUUCUUGUUUUUAUUUAUUUUGCAUGUUUAUGUGAUAUUUUAUUUGUCAUUAGUUAUUUUUGCCUUUAUAUUAAUGUUAUUUGUUUACUAUUCAUGUUAUUACACCAUUGAUGUAUUUAUUAUGGUACUUGUUUUGUAACAAUUAUGCAUACGUUCAAUUUAACAUUACAUGUUUUACUCGAUUUUUAAAAAAAAAAUCAAUCAAACUCUUUCAAAAUGGAUAUUCUUUAAAUCAAAAUAAACUCAUUAUUGGGAAUUCAACACGUUGUGUCCUAACGUAUUAGAUGUGACUAUUGAUUUCUCGAAAUGAAGAUUUUUUUUAAAAAAAUCAUGAAGGAAAUAUUCCGAGUUUGAGAUUCUAAAGGAAUUGUGCCCUAACGUAUUGGGUGUGAUUUCUUAAAUCUUGGAUAAGUGGAUGUUCUUUUAAAGUAAAGGAAAUAUUCCGAGUUUGGGAUUCUAAAGGGGUCGUGCCCUAACGUAUUGGGUGUGAUUUCUUAAAUCUUGGAUGAGUGGAUGUUCUUUUAAAGUUUUAUUGCAUAAGUAUUCUGACCUAAUUCAUUUUGGAGGAAAUUAGAAUGUUGUGCCCUAACGUAUUGGGUGUGGCAUUUUUGCUUCUUUGAAUUGAAAAGGGUUUUAAUAUGCAACGUUUUAAGUUUUUUUUAAAAGAUUAUAUUUUUAUAAUUUUCGACCUUAAGAAUCUAAUUAAUUAACUAGGUACCAAUUUUUGGGCGUAGUGAGGGUGCUAAUCCUUCCUCAUACGUAACCGACUCCCGGACUCGUUUUUCUAAAAUUCGUAAACCAAAGUCGUUUUAGGUGACCCAAUCACACCUUAAUAAAAGAUUGGUGGCGACUCCCGAAUUUUCAUUUUUUUAAAGUCGACAACCUAAAAUUUUUGGUUUUUCAAAAAAAUGGUUUCGACAGGGGGGUUGGGAGGAGAGGGGAGUAAAAGUUUUGGCGGGAAGUGGGAAGGAGUAAAAGUUUUGAGGGAAAAAUAAAAAGGUUUGGGAGUUUGGGGUAAAAAUGUAAAAUAUUAUAGUUUGAUAUUCGAAUUAUUCGAAUUAUUCGAGUUAUUCGAAUUGGAAAACUCAACUCGAUUCGAACUCGAAAUUCAAAAAAAAAAUUCGAGUUGAAUCGAAUAACUCGAAUAACUCUAUUCGUUUAACUCGAAAUUCGAAUUUUUUUCAAUUUUUUCGAGUCGAAUCGAGUUUUGCUCACCCCUAGUUACAAGUAGUUAUUCAUAGAAAAGACGGUGUACCUUAGAGGGUUGUUUCACAUGACCGCAAUCGCACCACCCCAACCCAAUUAGCUCUUACAACGUUAUAAAAAUCUCACUUUGUCGCCAUUUUCUUGCUCAAAGUUAGCAAAAGUUUAGUCGCCAUCAAGAAACUUAAAUUGACUUUGUGUUUGAGUCAGAUAACCAGAGCGGUGAAUUAGUAGUGUUUGAUACAGACCUCUAAUGUUACUGUUAGAAUUAAGUGAUCUAAAUUUUUAUUUAAAUAAAAUAAAGUGGUAAAAUAAAAUAAAAGUAAAAUUCCUAUAGAAAUAUACUUUUUUUUAUUUUAUUUUAGAAUAAUUUUUUUUAAAUCUUAUUAAAUUUCAUCUUUUUUAUAUUGAUUAGAAUAAGAUGUUUCAAUCGUACUAUACUCCUAUUAGAAUAUGGUUUUACAAGCUUAUAAAUAGAUAUAAUCUACCCCUGUUAUAAUUAUUCGAAUUCGACAUAGUGAAUUUUUUUCUCCUCUGCCCAUGAUUUUUUUCCCGAAAGGGUUUCUACGUAAAAAUCUAUUUUUUCUUUAUUUUUAUUUCUCUUUUCUUUGUGAUAUAUUGUCAUUACCGAUCUUCUAUUUUUACAAAUUGAUAUCCGAGCUUCAGGGUUGUUCAUCUUAAUCAUGGUAAUGACGUCUUUAAAGUAUGAAAUUCUGUUGUUGGAUCGUAACACCAGAUUCGCGUUAUGGCAGAUAAAGAUGCAGGCAGUUCUUGCAUAGAUGGACUUAGAGGAAGCCUUGCUAGGGGUAAAUAAGAUGCUUUCGACAUUGACAGAGGAAGAGAAGAAGCGUAAUGAUCGAAAGGCGUUAACACAGUUACAUCUGCAUUUGUCUAACGAAAUUUUAUAGGAUGUGAUGGAGGAGAAGACUGUCGCAGGAUUAUGGAAGAGGUUGGAACAAAUAUUUAUGUCGAAAACUCUAACCAGUAAGCUGCAUAUGAAGCAACGUCUUUAUGUUAAUCAUUUGGAGAAAGGUGCGUCUGUGCACGAACACUUAAUAGUGUUUAAAGAAAUUCUCUCAAACUUGGAGGCCAUGGAGGUUCAGUAUGAUAAGGAAGAGUUAGGGUUGAUUCUACUUUAUUCGUUGCCCUCGUCUUAUUCAACCUUUAGAGACACGAUUUUAUAUAGCCAUAAGUCUCUCAUAGUUGAUGAGGUUUAUGAUUCUUUGACCUCGUAUAAUAAGAUUAAGCAUCUUGUGGUUAAAACCGACUCUCAAGUAGAGGGUCACAUUGUUCGUGGGAGAUAAGAUCGAAAUGCUGAUGAUAAUCGUGAAAGGACACAGGAAUGGAAUCCUCGCGGUAAAUCUAAAGGUAGAUCGAAGUCUUCAAAUAGAGGUAAAAUUUGUAACUUUUGCAAGAAAAAAUGGCAUAUUAAAUCUGAGUGCUAUAAGCUACAGAAUAAGAUCAAAAUAGAGGUUGCGAAUCAAAAGGGAAAAUAACCAGAAAAUUUUAGUGAAGCUGAUGUUGUAGAAGACUACAACGAUGGUGAACUUCUAGUCAUUUCUGUCAACAAUUCUAAAGUGAGCGAAGAGUGGAUCAUUGAUUCGAGCUGCACCUUCCACAUGAAUCCCAAUCGGGAUUGGUUUACAACUUAUGAAACAGUGUCUGAAUAUGUUAUUUUGAUGGGAAAUAAUGCUUCGUGUAAAACCGCAGGUGUUGGAACAAUUAAAGUUAAGAUGUUCGAUGGAGUUGUUAGAACACCUAGUAACGUACGACAUGUUACAGAAUUGAAGAGAAAUUUAAUUUCGUCGAGUACUCUUGAUUUAAAAGGGUACAAAUACACAGCUGAAAGUGGGUUUUGAAGAUUUUCAAAGGUUCCCUCGUUGUGAUGAAAGGGCAGAGAAAGACUGCCAAGUUAUAUGUUCUGCAGGGUUCUACUGUUACUGGUGAUGUAGCUGUCGCGUCCUUUUUUCUUGUCAGAUGAUGAUAUUACUAAACUUUGGCAUAUGCGCCUAGGGCAUAUGAGUGAGAAUGACAUGGCAAAAUUGAGCAAAAGAGGACUUCUUGAUGGACAAGGAAUUUGCAAACUGAAGUUCUUUAAGCCCCGCGUUUUUGAGAAGCAAAAGAGAUUUCGAUUCACCAGAGGAAUCCAUAACACGAAUGGAACGUUGGAGUAUAUUCAUUCUGAUCUGUGGGGGCCAUCCAGAGUGCCUUCGAGAGGUGAAGCUAAUUACAUGCUAACUUUUAUAGAUGAUUUUUCGAGAAAAGUUUAGGCGUUCUUCCUAAAGCAAAAAAGUGAUGUGUUUUCCGCAUUUAAGUCUUAGAAAACUAUGAUUGAAAAAUAGACGGAAAAACAAAUAAAGUACCUCCGCACAGACAAUGACUUAGUGUUAUAUUCUGAUGAGUUUAAUAAAUUGUAGAAGUCAGAAGGGAUCAUAAGACACUUGACAGUUCAUCAUACUCUACAGUAAACGACGUUGCAGAACGAAUGAACAGAACUAUCAUGAAGAGUGUUCGAUGUAUGUUGUCAAAUGCCAACUUACCAAAGUCAUUUUGGGCCGAAGCAGCCUCUAUUGCAUAUUUUUUGAUCAACCGGUCUCCAUCUGUUGCCAUUUAGAAAAAGACUCCACAAGAGGUAUGGUCUGGUAAUCUUGUUGACUUUUCUGAUUUAAAGAUCUUUGGGUGUCCUGCGUAUGCUCAUGUUGAUAAUGGAAAAUUGGAAUCGAGAUCCAUUAAAUGUGUUUUUCUUAAUUAUAAAGCUGGUGUAAAAAGGUAUAAGUUACGGUGUCCUGAAAAUAGAAAAGUUGUGAUUAGCAGAGAUGUUGUUUUUUUAUGAAAUUGCUAUGCUACCUAACUUAUCUCUUAAAGGCUCUUCCAAUAAAGCAAAUCAAAAGUAGGUGGAACAUCAGAUUAAUCUAGAAUCUACAACAGAGUCGACUCCUCAAGCCAGUACAAAAAUUUAGAAUAGAGUUGCUUCUUCACCACAAUACUCUAUCGCCAAAAACAGAACUAGGAGAGAAAUUAAACCUCCAAAGAAGUAUGCUGAGGCUGAUCUAGUUGCUUAUGCUUUAAAUGUGGCUGAAGAUAUAGAUGCAAACCAAGAACCAUCUAAUUAUUCUGAGGCGGUUAGCUGUGAAGACUCAGAGAAGUUGAUAUUUUCUAUGCAAGAGGAGAUGGAAUCACUCCACAAAAACAAAACAUGAGAUCUUGUGAAACUUCCUAAAGGUAAAAAGGUUGUUCAUUGUAAAUAGGUGUUUAAAAAGAAAGAGGGGACUCCAGGAGUUGAAGAACCCAGAUAUAAAGUAAGGCUUGUUGCAAAGGGUUACAGUUAAAUUCCAAGAGUUGACUUCACAAAUAUGUUCUCCCUAGUUGUGAAACACAGUUCGAUUCGAGCUUUGUUUGGUAUUGUGGCCAUGCAUGAUUUGGAGCUUGAGCAGUUAGAUGUAAAAACUGUAUUUUUGCAUGGAAAACUUGAGGAGGAUAUUUACAUGCAACAACCAAAGGGUUUUAUAGUCUCAAAAAAUGAGGACUAUGUUUGCUUGCUGAAAAAGUCCCUUUACGGUUUGAAACAGUCACCAAGACAGUGGUACAAAAGGUUUGAUUCCUUUAUGACUUCUCAUGAUUUCAAAAGAAAUAACUUUGGCAGUUGUGUUUACUUUAAGAAAAACAGUGAUGGUUCUUUUGUGUAUCUACUCCUUUAUAUUGAUGACAUUUUGAUAGCAGUGAAAGAUAAAUGAGAGAUAAGAAAGGUUAAAGCCCAACUAAGUGAAGAAUUUGAGAUGAAAGAUUUGGGACCAAUAAAGAAGAUACUUGGUAUGAAGAUUCUUAAAGAUAGAAAAGCAAGUGAAUUGUACCUAACUUAGAAGGGGUACAUUGAAAAAGUUCUUUGCAGGUUCAAUUAGAGUGCUAAGCCUGUUAGUACUCCUUUAAUAGCCCAUUUCAAACUUUCAUCGGCUUUGUCUCCAUAAUUAGAUGAUGAGAUUGAGUAUAUGUCACAUGUUCCAUACUCUAGUGCAAUGGGAUCUCUCAUGUAUGCUAUGGUUUGUUCAAGUCCAGAUUAAUCAUAUGCAGUCAGUACAGUUAGCAGAUACAUGGCGAAUCUCGGUAAAGAACAUUGGAAAGCAGUUCAGUGGAUUUUAAGAUACUUACGAGGUACUACUGAUGUUUGCUUACAGUUUGGAAGAAUUAGAGAUGGAGUCAUUAUAACACCCCUAACCCGUAUCCGUCACUAGAACAGGGUUAUGGAGCAUUACCGGACCUAUCGGACAAUUUACAAUUAAUAUGAAAACCAACACAUUUUCACAUUCAAACCUAUUUAAAACAUGCCUUUCAUAAGUAAAUACUCAUCAUAUACCAAAUGACCAAAUUGUCAUCUUGAACCAUCACCAAAACCUUUAUAAAAAAGGCUCAAGCCUAUACAUGCCAUAGAACCUAUCGAAAUCAUUUAAAAAAAAAAGAAUAGUCAUCGACUUAAAAAAGAUUGGAGUCGCCACCGAUAUUUCAUUGAAGUGUGAUCGGAUCACCUUGAAAACGAUUUUGGUCUACGAAUUUUAAAAAACGGGUUCGGGAGUCAGUUACGUACGAGGAAGGAUUAGCACCCUCGUAAUGCCCAAAAUUGGUACCUAAUCGAUUAAUCAAUGUCUUAAUGUCGAAAAAUUGAAAAUUCAAAAAAAAAUUUAAAAUACGAUCCUUUGUUAAAAUAUCUAAAAAAAUUCAAGAAAGGGGCACAUUUCACGUCAAUCGAGAAAGAGAAUCAUGUCCCGUAAGUUAGGACACAAUAUCUUGAAUUUCUGAUACGAGAAUAAAUGCUAAAAAAUUUACGUAUUUGAAAGAUAUUCGAUUCUCUAGGUUUUAAAAAAAAAAACCAUAUUCCGUAGGUUAGAACAUAAUCUUAUUAAUUCCCGAGAUAAUUUAAAAAAUAUGUUUUUGAAAAAUGAUUCGUAUAUUCGGAUUUAUCGAAAAAUCGAAAUCCUGUAAGUUAGGGGUCGAUUUUCUCGAAUUCCGAGGGUAUGAAAUAUUGUAUUUGUUUUUAAAAAAAUGUAUUUUUACAAAUUUGGAUAAAAAUGUUCGAUGUUCGAAAUAUUACAUGCAUGAAAUAUUGCACUAAUAAAUAACAGUAACGAAUAAUAAUAAAGGCAAUUUACGAGAAUUAUAUUAUAUGCACUAUUUUACAAUAAUAUGAACAAUCAAGGAAUAACAAUAAUAAUAGAACCAAAGCAUGCAAAUAAGAGGGAAAAAAACACUAAAAAAAUCCAAGUAAAUAAAAUAAAUAUAUAAAAGAUUUAAAAAAGGUUUAUGAAAAUAUUGAAAGUAAUGAUCUAAAUUACAACAUAAGUGAGAUUUAAAUAAAUAAUUUAGAGUAAAAUAUGUAAAUAAGUGAAAUAAUGAAAGCAAUAAAUUAAUAAUAAUAAUAAUAAUAAUAAUAAUAAUAAUAAUAAUAAUAAUAAUAAUAAUGAAGUUCACGAAUAAAAAUAAAACAAAACAAAAUAAAAGAAAGAUUAAACAUAAAAAUCACGAUGAAAUAAUAAAAAUAAAAGAGUAAAUAAAUAAAAUAAAUAAAACACAAUACAAAAUUAGAGGUGCUCAUGGGCUGGGCCGGGUUCGGCCCGGACCCAUAAAAAAUUUCAGCCCAUUUCUUAGGCCCGGGCCCGACCCAAAAUAUGGGCCUGAUAUUUUGCCUAGGCCCGGCCCGUGAAAAAAAUAUGAAGCCCGGGCCCAGGCCAUUUUUUUAAUGUGUUACAAAUUAAAUGUAUAUUUAUAACAGUACACUAAAAUUUAAAAGUUAAAACAUUAUAUUAAAACAAUAUAAUUAUAACAGUAUAUUAUAACAAUAUAUUAAAACCAUAUAUUAAAAAAGUAUAUUAAAACAAUAUAACCGAACUCAUAUAUAUUAAAACAAAUAUAAGCUUCUCGCCAUUUCCAACAUGUUGCAGAGGCUAUCACAACAUCUCGGGCACCUCGAAGCCGAGACAAAAUGUUUCCAAUGACUUCAACUGGUAGGUGCUCCAUUGUCAAUAAAGAUAAAAAAAGCCUCAAAUCUACAAAUUGGGUUUUCUGAAGAUACUCAGCUAGAUAUAAUCAAACACAAAUUCUUCACAAAUCACAACUCAACAAAAUAAAGUUGACAUGGAAUUGAAUUAUUGAAAUCAUUGCCCAAGUAUUCUUUCCCAGUAGUGAAAAAAGUUCUGUGAUAAAACAAACAAAAAAAACAAAAAAAUCACUCAAAAACAUGAGUUUUAGUUAGAUCUUCAAACAGAUUUCACAUCCAAAUAAAGCAAAAUUUAUGCGUCAAAUAGAAGAGAAAAAAGGGUUUGCAAGGGAGAUUUAAGCAACACAAUCUCUCAGCAGUUUCCAACUAAAUAAAGGUCUAAAAUGAAUCUUCAAGUAAAGGAUCAAAGUCAAAAUCAAGCACUAUCCCGGUUCUUAAAAAUAUAUGCUUUUUAGGAGCUAAAAUCAAUUCAGUGAUUCAGAAAGUAGAAUAAUCCCAGAAUUGAAAGUACCUAACUACCUAUAAAUCCAAAGCCAAAAAAUAAUAAUAAUAAUAAAAUCAAAAUUGAAGUUUUAGCAUCUGGGCUUUCAACAAAUAUCUGAAAUUAUACAUCAAAUGAAAAAUAAUCCAACCAAAAUCCGCAAGCUAACCUAUGACAUCCAAUAGCAGAGACAGAAAGAAGGAUAACUACUGAAGCAUAGGAGAACCAAUAUUGAUAAGAACAUCACUUAAGCUAUUUCUGUAAUAGCAAUAAUAGUAUGUAGACAGAAGAAUUCCUACUAGAAAAGCAGGUCACAAGCAAGAAAAGAACGGAUACAUCAAAUGAAAUUAUACAUCUACGGUCACAAGCAAGUGAGGGAAUUGAUUCGAAUAAAAAUGAAAAUCAAAAAGCACAAAGCAAAAAACAAAUUCAAAGGUUAACAGCAAACUCACCUUUGAGAAGACGAAGAAGGCUAGAAGCAGUGAAGCACCGUGGAGUCGUGGACGUGGAGUCGUGAAUCGGUGGAGGUGGAGUUGGAUCCGAUUUGGGGGAAAAAAGGGAGGGAAGGGGUUAGGGAUUUAUCUGGGGUCGGGGGGAAAUGGGGAAGGGAAGGGAAAUGGGAAAUGUAUUAAUGACAAAAUAAAAAAUAAAAAAAUAUAUUAAUUAAAUUCGGGCCGGGCCCCGGGCCAAAAAAUUUUUACCCGAGGCCCGGCCCGUUUUUAAAACAGGCCUAAUUUCUUACCCAAACCCAUAUUUCGGGCCUAUAUUUUUACCCGAACCCUCCCAUAUUUCGGGCAGGCCGUCGGGCCGGGCCGGGCCGCCCGGCCCAUGAGCACCUCUACACAAAAUAAAAUUAAAACCAAGACAGAGACAAAAAGAGGCUAAAUUGUUAUUGGAAUAAAAUUAAAAGCUAAAAAAUAAAUUUUUGAAUACAAUUGGGGCUAAAAUUAUAAACAAAUAAGUGCAAAAGGACUAAAUUGAAAUUUAAUAAAAAACGGGGUAAAAAUCGAAAGUAAAAAUAAAGGAAAGGGCCCAAUUGAAAAGGGCGCAUAACUCAGAGGGACCAAAUGGGGAAAUAUCCCCGCCCUCUAAAAUGCACCAUUUCGUCAGGAUUAAAUCGAAAAAAGAAUAAAUUUUGAAGUAUCAAUUGAAAAAUAAAGAAAAACUGAAUUAAAAUAAUCAAAAUAUGCGGAAGGACUAAAUGCACAAAUUGCCCAUUAAUAAAAAAAAAACACACGAAUUCUCCCCGGGUAAGGUCAACACGCGGGUUAAGGCUCAAAACGACGCCGUUUUGGGGCUAUGGAGGCCAGCCCUAAAUGACGUCGUUUCAUGGGCUUAUAAAAGUCAAUUUUUUUUAAAAAAAACUGGAUUCUUCCUCAUUUCAAAAAAAAACACUAAAACCCCUAAAAUUUCUCUCAACCUUCCUUUUAGCCGGUCGAACUCCUGUCGUCGGUCAUCGUGUCGGCCACCGGUUGCCGGUGAAGGUGCCGCUGUCCCCGGUGGUUGAAAAAUCAAAAGGAACCCAUUUUUUUGGGCUUUUCAACUCCCUUGGCCUAAAAACGUUGUUUUUCAUUGGAAACGACGAACCUCGGCCUCAAGAUGACGCAAAACACAAAUAAAAGGUAAGUUUUUAUUAUUUAUUAUUUAUUUUUGAAAAGAUAAAAAAGAGUUAAAAAAAAAAGAAAGAAAAAUCACAUUUUCUUGAGUCUGUUAAUUUUUUGAUUUGAUUUUUCUAUUUUUCAUUCAUUCGUAAGUAAAAAAAUACAAAAAUCGGGGCCCUUUUUUAUAGCCCGAAAAUAUCCUCUUUUUCUAUUUUUCUGUUAGAUUCUCCUCGUUUAUUCGUUUUGCAGGUACAAGGCCGUUAGCCAGCUGGUGUACGGAGCGGCACAUGCGGGGGAGGCGGCGGCUAGGGUUUUCCCUUCUUUUUUGCUGCUAAAAAUGUUUAGUUUUUGGGCCAUAUCGGGCCACUAGGGUUUUUUGGUUAUUAGGCUAAUUGGGUUUGUAAAAAAGAGUUGAGUUUUGUAUUUAUUAUUUUUGGUGUUUUAUUAUUUGGGUUUGGGUUAUUUGCUUAGUUGGGCUCAAGCAAAAUGGGUUGUUACAGAACCAAUAUCACAAAGCUUAUAAAUACCAAACCAUAGUUGGAUAGUGUGAUGAGAUCUCUGACGACUUCCAACCCGAGCAAGCCUCCGAAACUCUAUAAACAUAGGAAAGAAAACAAAGUAAGCUAUAAAGCUUAGUAAGCUCGUAUGGAAAUAAACUCAUGUUAUUAAAUAACCGAAUUUAAAACAAUUAUUCAAAAUAUGAUAUAAUUCAUAUGAUUGCACCAUUCUAUUUCAAAUUCAUGCACAUAGUUAAUCCAAAUUUUCAUGAGUUUAUUCAUUCAAAACACGUAUAGUUUGAAUACUUCUUAUCAAUUCUUUCGCAUUUUUAUAUGCGUAAGCAAUUAUAUAUAUACUUUAUUAAAUUCAAUAUUCAUCACCUUUUCUUUAGCCAAGUGAAUUAUCAUCAAAUAACGAUAUUUUGCACACCAUGUGCCAUAUGUAUAUUUAGUUAAAACAACUAUAACUCAUAUCUCACAUAUCAUCUAUACAAUUCACAUAGAUCACAUUUCAAUUCAUUCUCAAUCAUAUAAUCGGUAACAGUAUAAUACCUGUUGAACCUAAUGAAACAUCGAAGGAUACUCGGGUGAUACACAUUAUGUGCAUUAAUCGGUAAUCCAUCAAUUCAUUAUCAUUUUCGCUCUUUCGAACUAUGAUCGGUAAGCUCAUUCCGAGUUGAAGAACGGUAAGCUUUAUCGAGCUAAAACGGUAAGCUCAUAAGAUCUGAUAUAUCGGUAAGCUCAUACGAGCUGUGGUGAGUCUGCCACAAAUGUAGGAGCUCGAACAAAAAGGUAACCCUAGUGACAUGUCACUCGUAUCCUACGAUUUUCUAUAGUUCAAACGGGACUCGGUAUUACUCAAUACAUUUCAAAUUAAGCAAUUCAAUAUCGUUUAUUUCAACCAUUCAAUUCAUAUAUAUAUCCAUAUUCAGUUUGUAAUAGCCCGAUUUUGACCCUAAUCGGAACAGUGGUUUCGGGACCACACAUCUGAGUUUGAAAAAUAUUUUAAUAUUUUUAUUCUGUGUUUAUUAUGUGUGAAUUUACAUGUGUGAAAGUUUCGUGAGUUAAUUUUAUUGUUUGAGUGCUUAAUUUGAGAAAAGGGGCUUAAUCGCGUAAAAUGAAAAUUUGAUGGUUAAUUAAGAAAAUGCCUAAUUGUUGUUGUCUUUAUAAGUUGGAGGCCUUAUGUUGUAAUUUAGCCAAUAAUAAUAGGUAGUGGAUGGCAUAAUGAUGAUAUGUGAUUUAUAUAUAUAAAUAAAAGUUAAAAUAAUAAUAAUAUAAUAAUAUAUGUUAUAAUAAAACAAAACAUUAAAAAAGCCACCAUUUUUUAUGUUCAUCUUUCUUCACCGAAUGUAGAAAAGAAAAACAAGGUUUGAAAGCUUGAAACAUUCGGCCAUUUUGAAGCUUAAUUCAAUGUUGGUUUUUGUUCGGUUUUUGAUAAAUUUUACGUUUUGAGAUCGUUGCUUUGAAUACUUCAAAACCCAUGUCUUAAUUUUGUGAAUUGUUGAUGAUUUUGAUAAAUGCCAUUGAUGAAUGCUUGAAAUUUGUGAUAGUUGAUGACGAAAUAUGAAAGAUAUGUGAAAGAUUAACAUGUUUCGUCUUUGAAUUUUUGAUGAAUUUGAGUAAUUAGGGUUAAAUUGUAAAAAUAAAAUUUUGAGGGACUAAAAUAUGAAAUAAAUGAUAUGUGUGGGCUUGUAUGGACACUAGGAAUAUUUGGCCCUUAAGUGUAGUCAAAUUUUGUGUAUUUUGUGUUUUGAGCAAAAAGGACUAAAUUGUAAAAAGUGUGAAAUAUUAGGGGGAAAAUUGUAAUUUGCCUAUUAAUGUGUUUUUAGGCUAAAUUGAAUAGAAUGGUGUUUAAAUAAGCUUAAUUUGAAUAUGCUUAGAUCAAGAAUUAAAGAAAUCGGAUUUGGAUCGGGGAAAUACAAAAGUGGUCGAGUAGCCGAUUUAGAGGUAAGUCAAUAAGCAUUUAAAUGUUGAACUAACUAUGGUAUAUAUAUUUGUUAUGCAUUGAAAUGAAUUAUUUGAAGUUAUAUAAGCUAGUGCCGAAUGUAAUAUUGUGAAUUGAUUAUAUUCCGAGAAUGAUAUAAAUUAGAUGUGAAUUAUGUGAAAGACCGAUUUUGUAAGUUCAGGCUUUAUGCCUAGCAGGCUUUAUGCCGGUGAAUUAUAUCAGGCUUUAUGCCUAGCAAGCUCUGUGCCGGUGAAUUAUAUCAAACUUUAUGUCUAGCAGGCUUUGUGCCGGUGAAAUGUAUCGGGCUUUGUGCCUAGCAGGCUUUAUGCCAGUGUUUUAUACAAGGCUCUAUGUUCUAUAAAUCUUAUGUGAGCAAUAGUAAAAACAAAUAAAUGUGUUAAGAAAGCUAAAUUAUUCAGGUAUGUGUUAGCCAUUUGCUUAAUUGAUGAUAAGGUAAGUUGGUUAUUUUUAAUUGAUAAUAGUUUCAAAUGAAAUACAGAGUAUGAGUUAACCAUUUGAGUAUAAGCAUGUUUUGGCAUAAUGAUUUAUUGAAUAUUCGGUUUUGCUAAAUAUUUAUGUGUAAUAGGCCAUAUGAUUUGUUUAUAUGAAAAUACAAUGUGAUCUUUAUUCAAGUGUUAUAUGGUACAAAAUAUUAGGAUAUUUGGUUUAUUUAACUUAAUGAUGGAAUAAGUAUUAAUAUAUAUACAUAUAUGAAUUUUUGCUUAUGACUUACUAAGCUUUAAUAGCUUAAUGUGUGUUUGUAUUUGUUUACUUCUGUUUUAUAGAUUUUGGAGUCGCAUUACGAGCUCGGGGAUCGUCAGCAUAGUCUAUCACACUAUCAACCGUCUUUGGUAUUUUAUAAAUUUGAAUUUUGAACCUAUGACAUGUAUAGUCUAGUUAAUAUGUUUAAUUUUGGGAUAUGUGAAUAUGAGCCAUGCGAAAAUGGUUUAUUCAUUUUGGUUAAGCUUGGUUUUAUGUUUUUGAUCUAUUGAUAUAUAUAUAUAUAUAUAUAUAUAUAUAUAUAUAUAUGAUGUUUAAGUUUAUGCAAAUUUCGGUUAUAUAUAUAGAAGUGUAAUGUGUUUAGCAUAAUUGUUAAUAGUUGUAUAAAUUAGUUAUAUUUAAGCCUAUUUUGGAAGUAAUAUGUGUAUUAUAUGUAUAUGAUGUAAUUAUGUAGAUGUUGCCUAUUUGUUGUAUAUAUGCUGUUAAAUUUUGGUGUAAAAAUGCUGCUCAAUUUGGUACGUAUAUGCUGCCCAUUUGUUGUAUAUAUGCUGUUAAAUUUUGGUGUAAAAAUGCUGCUCAAUUUGGUAUGUAUAUGCUGCCCAUUUGUUGUAUAUAUGCUGUUAAAUUUUGGUGUAAAAGUGCUGUUAAAUUUGGUAUGUAUAUGCUGCCCAUUUGUUGUAUAUAAGCUGUCCAAAUUUUGGUGUAUAAAUGCUGUUUAAUUUGGUAUAUAAAUGCUGUCCAAAUUGAUGUAUAAGAGCUGUCCAAACAAGGUAGAUUAUCUAUAUUGUAAUAUGUAGUAUAGUUAGCAAAUUUAAAUGAAAUAAAUGUGUACAAAUAAAUGUUUGGAUACAUGCUUGAUUUAUGAUAUAUAUAAUCAUUUAGGUUUGGAAAUGUUUUAAGAAUUUGAAUUAUAUCAAAUUUUGAUUAGGUAAAUGAUAAUGAUAUGGUUGAAUUUUGAAACAUAGUUGAUAUAUGUAAUUUGAUUAAUGAUGCAUGUUUGAUUUUAAUUGAUUAUGUGCUUAAAUAUAUAUAUAUAUAUAUAUAUUUGGGAGGAAAUUUUGUGGUUGAGUUAGUAUAAUAAAAAAUCAGGUUGGGUUUUGAUCGGUAAUGCCUCGUAACUCUAAUCCGGCGACGGACACGAGUCGGGUUGUUACACAGUUCAUACAAUUGCAAUUAAAUGAAAGUUCAAUUCUAAUUAUACGAACUUACCACAUUGCAUAAUUUAAGCAAUUAAAUCAAUAUGUCCAACUCGAAUAUUCAAAUGCCUAUCAUACAUACACCUCAAUAGGUUAGAGUCUCAAAUAUGCAUAUAACCAACAUUUCAUCCAUGAAUGCUUCAAUUUGGCAUUCAACUCACAUAACAUUUCAUUCAUACAUUUCAUGAAAAUUCAUUUCCAUUUCUAUACAUCCUCAUAACACAUAUCAUAUUUCAUAUACAUGAUACACUAAGAACUUACCAAAUUACCUUCAUUUGAUUCUCAUUUAGGUUUUGUACGUAUCUGUAUCACUUAAUUCGAUUGUACUUUCAUUCUCAUAUUGACUUUGCCCGUUGAACCAUUCGAAAUCGUUAAGGAUACUCAGAAAUCAUAAUAGAUCAUACAAUGUCAUAUCCCAGAUAUAGUCUUACAUGUUAUCACAAAUCGAUGCCACUGUCCCAGACAGGGUCUUAUACGAAAUCAUAUAACGAUGCCAAUGUCCCAGACAUGGUUUUACACGUAAUCACAAUACAAUGCCAAUGUCCCAGACAUGGUCUUACAUGUUAUAACCUCUCAGUAAUCCUAAUGUCAUGACAUUUGUAUCAUAUGAGGCUUUUGGACGUCGUAACUCCUUCGAUUUCGGCUCGUAUUCAUGACCAUUCAUCAUUCAAUUCAAUUCAAUAAUAAUUAAGCAUUUAUAACACAAUUUAAACACGUUAUUAGCAUACGAACUUACCUCUUUCGCUGUAACGACGAAUUAGGUCGACUAAUCAUACUUUAUUUUCCCUCAUUCUAUAUCCGAUUCUCAUUUUUCUCAAUCUAUAUAAUAGCAAAAUUUUCUUAUUUAAUCAUUAAUCCAUUCAAUUUAACACAAUUUAUACAUUUUGGAAAAAUUACACUUUUGCCCCUAUUAUUUAACAUUUUUGCAAUUUAGUCCUUAUCACAUAAAAUCAUAAUUUCAUGCAAUUUCAUCCUAGCCAUGCUUAGCUGAAUUCUUAUUAUUGCCUUAUCAGCCCACAUUUUCCAAAUAAUCACACUUUUAACCACAUAAUUUCAAUAUUUCAUAAUUUAAUCCCUAAUUAGCAUUUUUAUCAAAAAAUCACUUUAUAAAAUAUGAAAGUCUAACAUUAAAUAUUCAUAUUUCACCAUUAAACAUCAAAGAACACAUAAGCUCAUCAAUGGAAACUAUCAAAAUCUUUAAUAGUUUUGAAAUCGAAGACACGAGCUAGCUAGUACUAGUUGCGACGAUCUAAAAAACGUAGAAAUCAUUAAAAGCAUAUCAGAAUCCAUACCUAUUUGAGAAAAAAAUACGAUGGCCGAAAGUCAAGCUCAUCCAUGGUUGUUUCAAACUCCAUUUUCGAUUGUAAAUUGGAUGAAAGAAGAUGAUAAUUAACUUUGUUUUAUUUAUUUUAUCUUUUAUUAUCAAAUACCAAAAUUAACCUUUAAAAACAUUAGUAACUACACCAAAUGCCACUCCACUAUCAUCCACUAACUCAUAAAUGAGCUAUUUGCCACAUAAGAACCUUUACUUUAAAGUUCUUUAGCUAUUUGACACCUUUAGCUUAUAGAACACAACUUUUGCACUUUACGCGAUUUAAUCCUUUUUAUCAAAUUAAGCACCCAAAUGAUAAAAUUUCUUCACGAAAUUUUUAUACAAUCAUAAUAUCAUACUGUAAUUAUUAAAAUAAUAAUAAAAUAAAUUUUUUGGCAUCAGAUUCAUGGUCUCAAAACCACUGUUCUGAUUUCACAAAAAAAAACUGGCUGUUACAGUCAUUGGGUAUGUUGAUGCUGAUUUUGCUGGAGACCUUGAUAAAAUAAGAUCUCUUACAGGUUAUGUUUUUAUAAUCGAAGGUUGUGCAAUUAGUUGGAAAGUCACUUUGCAAACUAUAGUCGCUUUAUCUACCACUAAAGCUGAGUACAUGGCGAUUACUGAGGCUUGUAAAGAAGCUAUUUGGUUGAAGGGACUCUUUAGUGAACUCAAUGAAGACCUUCAAAUCAAUACAGUAUUUUGUGAAAGUCAAAGUGUCAUCUUCCUUACAAAAGAUCAAAUGUUUCAUGAAAGAACAAAACACAUUGAUGUUCGUGAUAUUAUUGCUCGUGGUGAUAUUGUUGUAAGUAAAAGUAAUACUCAUGAAAAUCUUGUAGAUAUGAUGACUAAGUCACCUCCUAUAGCCAAGUUUGAGCAUUGCUUAGACUUGAUUGGUGUUCAUUGUUGAAGUUAAACCCUUAAAGGGUUUUAUGGAAGAGGUGGAGAACUUAUUCGUUGAUAGUUCGAGAUGAAGAACUUGUUAAUUGAGAAUUUGUGUCAAGGUAGAGAUUGUUAGAAUUAAGUGACCCGAAUCCUUAUUUAAAUAAAAUACAACGGUAAAUAAAAUAAAAGUAAAAUCCCUAUAGAACUACACUUCUUUUAUUUUAUUUUAUUUUAUUUUAGAAUAAGGUUUAAAAACCUUAUUAAACUCCAUCUAUUUGAUAUUGAUUAGAAUAAGGUGUUUCAAUCUUACUACACUCCUAUUAGAAUAUAGUUUUACAAGCCUAUAAAUAGACAUAAUCUACUCUUGUAAUUAUUCGAAUUUGACAUAGUGAAUUUUCUUCUCCUCUACCCGUGGUUUUUCCCCAAAAGGGUUUCCACGUAAAAAUUUGUGUGUUCUUUAUUUUUAUUUCUCUUUUCUUUGCGAUAUAUUGUCAUUACUGAUAUUCUAUUUUUACAGUUCCAAUGCCAAGUGAGAGGGUUGGUAAAGAAAAGUGCCUCAACCCUAUCUCACAAACAAUAACAUCAUUUGCCCAAGUCCUACCUUCCACCCUAAUACCACCCAACUCACAACCCUUGCUCAAAAACAAGAACGUCAUCAUCAACAUUCAACAGCAAAGUUAUCAGAAAAAAAUAGAAAUAGCAAAAUUUCUAUUCGCAUUUAUCACUGGUGACAGACCAUCGUGCUCACUCACAGCUUCAGGAUUUUCGUUCUCUCUCACAUCAACAGAUUCUUGGCGGCCUGUAAAGUUUCCCAGUAUUCCGGUGGGUUACAUUGACAGUGUUAUUGAACUCAUGCGCCAGUAGUUAAAGCAUAUUGGGUAUCAAUGUUUUCCCUUUCGGGGGAAUCUCCAUCAUCAUUGUCUGAAAGUCUUAUUUUUUGAAGGUGAAACCAGGAGCACUCCCUUCUCAUCUAUUCCUCCUCUCUCUUUCUCUUGUUGGCACUCGAUCCUUCAUUGAUUUGAAAUUCCCUAAACCAUCCAACACUCUUACCUCUCUAGUUUCAGCCUGAACCGCAGCAUGGCCUUCAGUCUUGGCACUUCUUCUUUGAAUUGCACCUUUUCCGGUUCCUUUAACAUCCUUAUAUGACACUUGUUUCUUCAAACAUGUUGAAACUAGGACUGGAUCAAUCAUUUUUCAUGCUUGUUUAUUCCUCCCAGGCAACUAGUGAACUAAAAGAGAAAACGACCCCCAACGUCAAAGGAAAAUGCCACCCACCUAUAGUCCCCAUCACAAUAGAAUCAGGAAAUAAAUGCUUUAUUAUGUUCAAAUCAAUAAAUUAUAACGCAAGAUUUAGUUGAUAGAAAAUUAACAAAAAACGGCAGCUUACGGUUUCGUAGAAGAUAAUGCCACUGUUUUAUACAAGACAAAGAUGCAAAUCUGGUAAUUAACAACCCUAACUUGCAUACAUUCACAUUUUGAUUACAGAACUGUUUGAUUUCUUCUCCCUACAUGUGUGUUUUAUAUAUGGGAUAACAUAAAAUUCUGGCUUAAGCUGUAGUGUUAGCAUUGAUAAUUUGAUUUUGAUUGGGACAUAAACAUGAACAAGGAAGUGACCUGUCUAAGUAGAACCAAACAUUUCUUUUACUUGACAUUAAUUUCAAAUUCCAUCCUUAAAUAACCUUAUCUUUAUCCUUAAAAAAAUCAUUACAGAAGCAAAAUUUAAAAAUUUUCUUAAGCAAUACUAAAGCAAGUGAAUGAUUCAUGCCAUUUCCCAUUUUUACAAAUAUUAAGGAGGGUCUUUACUCUUUAGCCUUGAGGUUGCAAAUAUUAUAUAUAGUUUGCCAUUUCUAAACCCACUUUGUCAAUCUUUUCCACCGUUAACUAUAGAUAUUCAAUGCCAUAUGGUAGGUUUGACUUGCCUUUACUUACUCUUUGGACCAUUAGUCGGGACCACUAGAGACAAUUAAAGGGACAUCUAAUGUUGCAAACUUCUAUUUUAACAUCCAUGCAUUAACCUGGUACUAAACUGUAAUAUUUUAAAACUUAUUAAAUACUAAAACAAAACGCAGGCAUUAAAAUGGAAAAAAACUUUACGUACCAAAUUGAAUAUCGAACUUAAAUUCAAGUAUGAAAUAGGAUAUUAACCUUAUAAUUAACAUAAAAUGACAAGGUCAAUUAGGUAUGGUGCGUAUAAAUCACGCGAGGGUUUUCUUUCCCAUUUCCUUUGUAGUGCCCAAUAAUAAAGCCGGGAACAUCUAUGUCUUAACACAGAGUUUGGCAAGCGAGAGUAACAAAAUCCGAAGGGAAUCCCAAUUUCUUCGCUUUUCAUCUUCUCUCGCUUCCAUUUCUCCGUUUUUUCCCCUCCGGCAAUGGCUAUCGAUUCUGAUUCUUUCAAACAAUCACUUCUCCCUAGCUUCCUUUACUCUUCUGCUCCCAACUCUUUCUCUCUGGAUCGGCUCAUCAACGCCAACAGCCCUGCUUUCUCUGCUUCACGCUCCACUAUACCCGGUGCCCCCGCGGCCUCUUCCUCGCCGUCGAUCAAGGCGAGAACUUUCAUGAUCCCCUCCCCCAAUGAGCCCGGGAAGAAGAUUGAGAUGUAUUCGCCUCAGUUCUACGCUGCUUGUACCUUUGGCGGUAUCCUUAGCUGUGGUCUCACUCACAUGGCCGUUACUCCUCUUGACCUCGUCAAGUGUAAUAUGCAGGUUUACAGAUCUGGCUCUCUUCUUUUUUUUAUCCUUCUAUUGUUUAUUUUUGCUAGUUUUUUAAGAUUAGAUCUGAGAUAAGCUUGUCGUUCGCUUGAGAAUUUUGAUUGACAAGUUGUUUGCUUAUGAGAUCCGUGCCUACUUUUUACUGCUUCAGUUCCAGAACUAAAAUCACUGUCUGUCGGUUUUAUUGAUGAUCAAGGCUUCUGUCCCUUCGACUUUGGUACCUUGUAUUUCAAGUUUUGCUUUUUAGGAUGUCAUUUAUAGGAAUACGGAACUAUUUAGGAGUAUAACUUCGGUUGCAAUUGAGAUUUGAUUUUUUUUUUGGUUCAAAUCUCUCAAUUGUUAACUUGUGUUAGAUCCUUGUUGUUGGAAAGUCUGGUUGUGGAGAAGGAAUGGAGGUCCAUAUGGUGGAUGAGAGGUAGUAGGAUUAGUGUUUAUGUGCUGUGGAAGUGAUUUAAUGGAGUAACAUUAUAUGAAGUAUCUUAGGGAAGAAGGUGAUGAAAUUGGGUUAUUUUUAUCCUUUAAGAUAGGGUCUUGUGUGGGAAGCUCAGUGUUGUCGAUGGCGCAAGGUGCUAGGUGCUUGAGUUAUUAAAUUGCCUCAGGCGCAAGUUGCAGAAAGCACAAUAUGUAUGUUGGUUUUCCUGUGUCUAUAUAUGGAGUGGAAGAUAUAAUAAAGUCUAAAGUUGAAUACUCAAAUAUUGAGAAGUAUGUAGUUUAAGACUAUCCAUUUCUUACUAGUAGGUAAGUCUAAUGAAAGGAAGUGAAUUUUUUUUUUUAAAGAUAACUUUAUUAAGGCUUUUUAUUCAUUUUAUUUUAUGCCCAUUGCCUUAAAAAAAGCAUACUUAGAUGGACAAACACCCACCUGAUUAAAUGGGCUUGCCUGAAAGGGUUUGAUUAAAUGGACUUGCCCAAAAGGGUUUGAUUAAAUGGGUCGUUGUUUGUUUAGUGCUAAGGUGCAUGCACACCUAAGCCUCCGCUUUCUCAAAACUGGGGAAGCUGCUUGUCAUGUAGGGCUUCGAUACGUGCUCUUGGAUGUGAAGGUUGGAUUGCUAAUCGGUCCCACUUGGGUCCCAAUGUGAUUGGCAAGUGUCUUAAGUGUAAUGCCUUGUCUCAAGAGAAUCAGCCACUAUAAUCUUAUGAUUAGACCUUUACUUAGAAAGGUAUCAGAUCCUCAUUAUACUUGGUGUGGGGUUGACCUUCAUUUGUUCCAGGUGAGAUAUCGGGUUUGUCCCUUAGGCGAGGUUUUGGUGGUUUUCAGCCUUUUUAGUCCUAGGCCCAAACAUAAUUUCCUCGAAAUUAAUUUUAUGCAUCAUGUUAUUUACUGGUACAGUAGUACCUAAACGCACUCGUAGUUGUAUAUCUUUUAUUGUUUGUAGACAGAUUUCUGAGUUUCACUGGGUAGCUUUGUUAGAUGAGUACUUGGUUUUGUUUGUUGCUGUUAAUCUAGUUUAUUUUCUAUUGUAAUGGUUAACAUUUAAAGCACCUGAUGACUUUUUAUCCUACAUAAGACACAAAUUUUAUAGAACAGCUAAUGUUACUUUCUUGAUUUAGUUUUAUGUAACCUGUAAUUAAUAAGGUGAAUGAUCUAAGUUGAUGACAUAAGGACUGUUUUGCCAGAUUGACCCUGCAAAGUACAAAAGUAUCUCAUCUGGUUUCGGAGUUCUACUAAAGGAGCAAGGAGUGAGGGGCUUCUUCCGUGGUUGGGUUCCUACCCUUCUUGGUUACAGCGCACAGGGUGCUUGCAAGUUUGGAUUCUAUGAGUUCUUCAAGAAGUACUAUUCUGACCUUGCUGGACCUGAAUAUUUUGCCAAGUACAAGACUCUCAUCUAUCUUGCCGGCUCUGCAUCUGCUGAGGUGAUUGCUGAUGUUGCACUUUGCCCCUUUGAGGCAGUCAAGGUCAGGGUUCAAACCCAGCCUGGUUUUGCUAGGG